rnacentral:rRNA from 1 species
UAAGGAAUAUUGGUCAAUGGACGCAAGUCUGAACCAGCCAUGCCGCGUGAAGGAUGAAGGUCCUCUGGAUUGUAAACUUCUUUUAUCUGGGACGAACACGGGAUUUUUAUCUCAAUUGACGGUACCAGAGGAAUAAGCACCGGCUAACUCCGUGCCAGCAGCCGCGGUAAUACGGAGGGUGCGAGCGUUAUCCGGAUUUACUGGGUUUAAAGGGUGCGUAGGUGGGCUUAUAAGUCAGUGGUGAAAUCUCCGAGCUUAACUUGGAAACUGCCGUUGAUACUAUAGGUCUUUAAUUAUCUGGAGGUAAGCGGAAUAUGUCAUGUAGCGGUUAAAUGCUUAGAUAUGACAUAGAACACCAAUUGCGAAGGCAGCUUACUACAUAUAAAUUGACGCUGAGGCACGAAAGCGUGGGGAUCAAACA